rnacentral:rRNA from 1 species
UGCUGGAGGUAUCAGAAGUGCGAAUGCUGACAUAAGUAACGAUAAAGCGGGUGAAAAGCCCGCUCGCCGGAAGACCAAGGGUUCCUGUCCAACGUUAAUCGGGGCAGGGUGAGUCGACCCCUAAGGCGAGGCCGAAAGGCGUAGUCGAUGGGAAACGGGUUAAUAUUCCCGUACUUGGUGUUACUGCGAAGGGGGGACGGAGAAGGCUAUGUUGGCCGGGCGACGGUUGUCCCGGUUUAAGCGUGUAGGUGUGUGUUCCAGGUAAAUCCGGUUCACUUUAACACUGAGGCGUGACGACGAGGCACUACGGUGCUGAAGCAACAAAUGCCCUGCUUCCAGGAAAAGCCUCUAAGCAUCAGGUAACACGAAAUCGUACCCCAAACCGACACAGGUGGUCAGGUAGAGAAUACCAAGGCGCUUGAGAGAACUCGGGUGAAGGAACUAGGCAAAAUGGUGCCGUAACUUCGGGAGAAGGCACGCUGACACGUAGGUGAAGUGAUUUACUCAUGGAGCUGAAGUCAGUCGAAGAUACCAGCUGGCUGCAACUGUUUAUUAAAAACACAGCACUGUGCAAACACGAAAGUGGACGUAUACGGUGUGACGCCUGCCCGGUGCCGGAAGGUUAAUUGAUGGGGUCAGCGUAAGCGAAGCUCCUGAUCGAAGCCCCGGUAAACGGCGGCCGUAACUAUAACGGUCCUAAGGUAGCGAAAUUCCUUGUCGGGUAAGUUCCGACCUGCACGAAUGGCGUAAUGAUGGCCAGGCUGUCUCCACCCGAGACUCAGUGAAAUUGAACUCGCUGUGAAGAUGCAGUGUACCCGCGGCAAGACGGAAAGACCCCGUGAACCUUUACUAUAGCUUGACACUGAACAUUGAGCCUUGAUGUGUAGGAUAGGUGGGAGGCUUUGAAGUGUGGACGCCAGUCUGCAUGGAGCCGACCUUGAAAUACCACCCUUUAAUGUUUGAUGUUCUAACGUGGACCCGUAAUCCGGGUUGCGGACAGUGUCUGGUGGGUAGUUUGACUGGGGCGGUCUCCUCCUAAAGAGUAACGGAGGAGCACGAAGGUUGGCUAAUCCUGGUCGGACAUCAGGAGGUUAGUGCAAUGGCAUAAGCCAGCUUGACUGCGAGCGUGACGGCGCGAGCAGGUGCGAAAGCAGGGCAUAGUGAUCCGGUGGUUCUGAAUGGAAGGGCCAUCGCUCAACGGAUAAAAGGUACUCCGGGGAUAACAGGCUGAUACCGCCCAAGAGUUCAUAUCGACGGCGGUGUUUGGCACCUCGAUGUCGGCUCAUCACAUCCUGGGGCUGAAGUAGGUCCCAAGGGUAUGGCUGUUCGCCAUUUAAAGUGGUACGCGAGCUGGGUUUAGAACGUCGUGAGACAGUUCGGUCCCUAUCUGCCGUGGGCGCUGGAGAACUGAGGGGGGCUGCUCCUAGUACGAGAGGACCGGAGUGGACGCAUCACUGGUGUUCGGGUUGUCAUGCCAAUGGCACUGCCCGGUAGCUAAAUGCGGAAGAGAUAAGUGCUGAAAGCAUCUAAGCACGAAACUUGCCCCGAGAUGAGUUCUCCCUGAGACUUAGAGUCUCCUGAAGGAACGUUGAAGACGACGACGUUGAUAGGCCGGGUGUGUAAGCGCAGCGAUGCGUUGAGCUAACCGGUACUAAUGAACCGUGAGGCUUAACCUU